rnacentral:rRNA from 1 species
GUUCCGGUUGAAUCAAUGAAUUCUGCAAAUCACAUCACUAACUGGCAGUGGUGCUUUUAAUGAGCCAGAAACCAAGUUCCGUGUGAUAGUUUGAUUUCAUUUCGAAACGCUUGCAGCGGCCCAGAAGGCUCAGAUUAUACAAAAACCCGCGAGGGGUAUACAAAAGAGUUUUAGGUUGUUCUCCGGCGGCGCCUUGUCGGGGUGCGACGCACCCGGGCAGAGAUCCCGCCGAGGCAACAGUUUGGUAACGUUCACAUUGGUUUGGAGUUGUAAACUCGGUAAUGAUCUCCCUGUAGGGGUGACCUGCGGAGGGAUCAUUAACCGAGUUUACAACUCCCAAACCCAAUGUGAACGUUACCAAACUGUUGCCUCGGCGGGAUCUCUGCCCCGGGUGCGUCGCAGCCCCGGACCAAGGCGCCCGCCGGAGGACCAACCUAAAACUCUUUUUGUAUACCCCCUCGCGGGUUUUUUAUAAUCUGAGCCUUCUCGGCGCCUCUCGUAGGCGUUUCGAAAAUGAAUCAAAACUUUCAACAACGGAUCUCUUGGUUCUGGCAUCGAUGAAGAACGCAGCGAAAUGCGAUAAGUAAUGUGAAUUGCAGAAUUCAGUGAAUCAUCGAAUCUUUGAACGCACAUUGCGCCCGCCAGUAUUCUGGCGGGCAUGCCUGUCCGAGCGUCAUUUCAACCCUCGAACCCCUCCGGGGGGUCGGCGUUGGGGAUCGGCCCUCCCUUAGCGGGUGGCCGUCUCCGAAAUACAGUGGCGGUCUCGCCGCAGCCUCUCCUGCGCAGUAGUUUGCACACUCGCAUCGGGAGCGCGGCGCGUCCACAGCCGUUAAACACCCAACUUCUGAAAUGUUGACCUCGGAUCAGGUAGGAAUACCUCGCUGAACUUAAGCAUAUCAUAAGGCCGGAGAAAAAUCAUUACCGAUUUUACAACUCCAAACCAAUGUGAACGUUACAAACUGUUGCCUCGGCGGGAUCUCUGCCCGGGUGCGUUCCACCCAGAACGGGGGGCGCGAAGAACACACAAAAAUCUUUUUGUUAUCCCCGUGCGGGUGUUUUUAUUAUCUGAAGCUCUGGCCCUGUAGAUUGAAUGAUCAAACUUCAACGGAACUUGGUUCUGGCUCUAUGAAAA